rnacentral:rRNA from 1 species
CAACUUUCAACAACAGAUCUCUUGGUUCUGGCAUCCAUGAAUAACUCAGCGAAUUGCGAUACGUAGUGUGAAUUGCAUAAUUCAGUGAAUCAUCUAAUCUUUGAACGCACAUUGCGCCCUUUGGUAUUCCGAAUGGCAUGCCUGUUCAAGCGUCAUUU